rnacentral:rRNA from 1 species
UGCAAGUCGAACGGUGAAAGAGGAGCUUGCUCCUCUGGAUCAGUGGCGAACGGGUGAGUAACACGUGAGUAACCUGCCCCAGACUCUGGGAUAAGCACUGGAAACGGUGUCUAAUACCGGAUACGAGCUUCAGCCGCAUGGCUAGGAGCUGGAAAGAAUUUCGGUCUGGGAUGGACUCGCGGCCUAUCAGCUAGUUGGUGAGGUAAUGGCUCACCAAGGCGACGACGGGUAGCCGGCCUGAGAGGGUGACCGGCCACACUGGGACUGAGACACGGCCCAGACUCCUACGGGAGGCAGCAGUGGGGAAUAUUGCACAAUGGGCGCAAGCCUGAUGCAGCAACGCCGCGUGAGGGACGACGGCCUUCGGGUUGUAAACCUCUUUUAGUAGGGAAGAAGCGAAAGUGACGGUACCUGCAGAAAAAGCACCGGCUAACUACGUGCCAGCAGCCGCGGUAAUACGUAGGGUGCAAGCGUUAUCCGGAAUUAUUGGGCGUAAAGAGCUCGUAGGCGGUUUGUCACGUCUGCUGUGAAAACUGGAGGCUCAACCUCCAGCCUGCAGUGGGUACGGGCAGACUAGAGUGCGGUAGGGGAGAUUGGAAUUCCUGGUGUAGCGGUGGAAUGCGCAGAUAUCAGGAGGAACACCGAUGGCGAAGGCAGAUCUCUGGGCCGUAACUGACGCUGAGGAGCGAAAGCAUGGGGAGCGAACAGGAUUAGAUACCCUGGUAGUCCAUGCCGUAAACGUUGGGAACUAGAUGUAGGGACCAUUCCACGGUUUCUGUGUCGCAGCUAACGCAUUAAGUUCCCCGCCUGGGGAGUACGGCCGCAAGGCUAAAACUCAAAGGAAUUGACGGGGGCCCGCACAAGCGGCGGAGCAUGCGGAUUAAUUCGAUGCAACGCGAAGAACCUUACCAAGGCUUGACAUAUACCGGAAAAGUUCAGAAAUGUUCUCCCCGCAAGGUCGGUAUACAGGUGGUGCAUGGUUGUCGUCAGCUCGUGUCGUGAGAUGUUGGGUUAAGUCCCGCAACGAGCGCAACCCUCGUUCUAUGUUGCCAGCACGUAAUGGUGGGAACUCAUAGG